UCUUUAUCCUAGACUUUUAUCUAUACUUUAUUCGCGUUAUAUAACGUUUACAACGCGCCUUAUUGGCAUUAUGCCCAGUUUCAAGUAAAUGAGGAAAAAAUACAGGUUUUAACCAAAAUAAACUUUUUCCCCAAGUGUUUAUACAGAAGUAUUGGACCACACCAAGUUUAACAAUUUGUUAGAAGAAACAAACAAAGAGAUUUCCUAACAAAUACUGAUCCGCCUACAAUUGGGAGUAUUAAAAAAGAAUGGCCUGUGCUUUUUACUAAAAAAGCUAUAUUUUGGCAUUUUCCAAAGUUGACCCAAAAACCUAAGUAUAAGAAGUUUACCAUUUUUGACGAAGAUCAGGACGAAAUCGUGCUGCAGUCACUGAGGAUACUGGCACAUUACUUUAAAGAAGAUUUGUCGACCUUUUGUUACCAAUUUGACGUAAGUACAGGCUGUAAAUAUAUAAUUUUUUAAUA